UGCCAGCAGCCGCGGUAACACGAACUGUGCGAACGUUAUCCGGAUUUACUGGGCGUAAAGCGCAGGCAGGCGGCGGUGAAAGUCGGACGUGAAAGCCCCAGGCUCAACCUGGGGAGGCCGUUCGAAACUAGACUGCUGGAGGGCAGCAGAGGAACAUGGAAUUCCGGGUGGAGUGGUGAAAUGCGUAGAUAUCCGGAGGAACACCAGAGGCGAAGGCGGCUUUCUGGACCGAUACUGACGCUGAGACGCGAAAGCGUGGGGAGCAAACAGGAUUAGAUA
rnacentral:rRNA from 1 species